AUACGGAGGGUGCAAGCGUUGUUCGGAAUUACUGGGCGUAAAGCGCGUGUAGGCGGCUUGGAAAGUCGGAUGUGAAAGCCCGAGGCUCAACCUCGGAACUGCAUUCGAAACAUCCAGGCUAGAGUCCUGGAGAGGAUGGUGGAAUUCCCAGUGUAGAGGUGAAAUUCGUAGAUAUUGGGAGGAACACCAGUGGCGAAGGCGGCCAUCUGGACAGUGACUGACGCUGAGACGCGAAAGCGUGGGGAGCAAACAGGAUUAGAAACCCCGGUAGUCC
rnacentral:rRNA from 1 species